rnacentral:rRNA from 1 species
AGUGAACGCUGGCGGUAGGCCUAGCACAUGCAAGUCGAACGGCAGCACAGUAAGAGCUUGCUCUUACGGGUGGCGAGUGGCGGACGGGUGAGGAAUACAUCGGAAUCUACUUUUUCGUGGGGGAUAACGUAGGGAAACUUACGCUAAUACCGCAUACGACCUACGGGUGAAAGCAGGGGAUCUUCGGACCUUGCGCGAUUGAAUGAGCCGAUGUCGGAUUAGCUAGUUGGCGGGGUAAAGGCCCACCAAGGCGACGAUCCGUAGCUGGUCUGAGAGGAUGAUCAGCCACACUGGAGCUGAGACACGGUCCAGACUCCUACGGGAGGCAGCAGUGGGGAAUAUUGGACAAAGGGCGCAAGCCUGAUCCAGCCAUACCGCGUGGGUGAAGAAGGCCUUCGGGUUGUAAAGCCCUUUUGUUGGGAAAGAAAAGCAGCAGGUUAAUACCCCGCUGUUCUGACGGUACCCAAAGAAUAAGCACCGGCUAACUUCGUG